AUUGCGGGACCCGCUCCUAAUGGUGGACGUGUUUGUUCCCACGUGGCACAUCGUUUGCACACAGGUAAAAUGGCUACCAUUUUUUUUGUCAUUGCUUUUUUGUAUGUAUUUUUAUUCGAACUACACACGGGUUUUACUGACGACUUGCUGUGACUUACCUUCUACCACCCUAUCAAACGUCGUUUUAUACCAGUGGUUUUCCUGUAAAUCAGUAGACUAUUAAGUAACGCGAUGGCCAUACACUUUUAAGCAAUAACUAGUGAUCUUUUAGUUAUUCAAUUAUAAGUUUGAAUUAUUUUUUUCUUGAGUAAAAUGGUUAGAGAAAAUAGCUGCCCGUGGUUUUGAAGCUGCAUAUACUUUUAUGUACAUCUGUGUCUAUAUGCCUGUACUGUAUACAGUAUAUAAAAAAACACGUAGUGAUUCAUUUGCUUGAAUUCCUUAAUCCUUUUAUUUCCAUACUUUAGGUAGACGAGGAAGACCAGGACUUGACAUUACAAGGGAUCAAAUUGAACUGCUCCCCACUCAGGGCUUUACAGUGAGAGCGAUCACGGGGAUGUUGGGUUGUUCCUCUUCAUACCUGCAUAAAAAAAAAGAAGUUUUUUUCAGAUUUCAGCCAGAAAUAGAUUUACUCCCAUUCAUGAUGUUGACCUGGAGGAGCAUGUCAGAAGAUUGCACAGCCAAUUUCCCAGAUCAGGCUCGGAAAUGAUGAGGGCAUACCUGUGUGCUGAUGGUAUUGUAGUAUAAAGAAAAAGAGUUCGAGAAAUCCUGAACCGUAUUGAGCCAGCUGCUGCAGCCCAUAGAUGGAGCCAGACUUUGGCUAGAAGAACAUACUAUGUGCCAUUCCCCAAUAGUUUAUGGCACAUAGAUGGGCAUAUGCGUCUCAUUCGGUGGGGGUUUGUGACACAUGCUGGCAUUGAUGGGAAUUCCAGGCUAAUAACGUACCCUCAACUGCAGCACAGACAACACAGCUUUGACAGUGUUGAAAUAUUUUGUCCAAGCCACCUGCCUGUAUGGGUUACCCUCCAGAGUAAGAUCCGACCAUGGUGGUGAAAACACGGGUUGCUCUUUUAAUGAACCUACUGCAGGGACAAGACACCAAAAUUAUUUCUAGCUCCAGCCAACACCCCCUCACAAUUUACUCACACCUCCCAUGGCCUGAUUAUCUACCAACAGGGGCCCUUUUUGGAUUAUCAUUUUGGCAUAGGAACUUUCCUAUCCUAACCGAGUGAGAUGAGCCGGUAGCACCUGGAGCAAAGAUCGUCUAAAUUUUAAUAAUGCUUAGGAAAGGUUCUGAUCAUUCUUUACGAAAAGAAAGGAGAUAUAUUAUGCAGCAGGAAUAUUUAAAGGGGAAGU